rnacentral:rRNA from 1 species
UGCGUAGGUGGUGGGUAAGUUUGAUGUGAAAGCUCCGGGCUUAACCCGGAAAUGGCAUUGAAUACUAUCUCGCUUGAGGGUUGGAGGGAGACUGGAAUUCUUGGUGUAGCAGUGAAAUGCGUAGAUAUCAAGAGGAACACCAGUGGCGAAGGCGAGUCUCUGGACAACUCCUGACACUGAGGCACGAAAGCUAGGGGAGCAAACA